rnacentral:rRNA from 1 species
GACGAACGCUGGCGGCGUGCUUAACACAUGCAAGUCGAGCGCUGAAGCUUUUUGGGGGUGGAUGAGCGGCGAACGGGUGAGUAACACGUGGGUGACCUGCCCUCAGCUCUGGGAUAAGCCUGGGAAGCUGGGUCUAAUACCGGAUAUGACCUUCUCUCGCAUGGGGGUUGGUGGAAAGUCUGUGUUGUGAGACAUGGGCGGUUGGGGAUGGGCCCGCGGCCUAUCAGCUUGUUGGUGGGGUGAUGGCCUACCAAGGCGG